GAUGAAGAACGCAGCGAAAUGCGAUAAGUAACGUGAAUUGCAGAAUUCAGUGAAUCAUCGAAUCUUUGAACGCACAUUGCGCCCGCCAGUAUUCUGGCGGGCAUGCCUGUUCGAGCGUCAUUUCAACCAUCAAGCCCCCGGCUUGUGUUGGGGACCUGCGGCUGCCGCAGGCCCUGAAAACCAGUGGCGGGCUCGCUAGUCACUCCGAGCGUAGUAAUACAUCUCGCUCAGGGCGUGCUGCGGGUUCCGGCCGUUAAAAAGCCUUAUUUACCCAAGGUUGACCUCGGAUCAGGUAGGAAGACCCGCUGAACUUAAGCAUAUCAAUAAGCGGAGGA
rnacentral:misc_RNA from 1 species